GACGAACCGUGCGAACGUUAUUCGGAAUCACUGGGCUUAAAGCGCGUGUAGGCGGGACGGCCCGUCGGCCGCUAAAAUCCCCCGGCUUAACCGGGGAAGGGGCGCCGAUACGACCGCCCUGGAGGAACGUAGGGGGAGCUGGAACUUCCGGUGGAGCGGUGAAAUGCGUAGAGAUCGGAAAGAACACCAACGGCGAAAGCACUCUGCUGGGCCGACACUGACACUGAGAGACGAAAGCUAGGGGAGCGAAUGGG
rnacentral:rRNA from 1 species